GACGAACGCUGGCGGCGUGCCUAAUACAUGCAAGUUGAGCGAUGAAGAUUGGUGCUUGCACCAAUUUGAAGAGCAGCGAACGGGUGAGUAACGCGUGGGGAAUCUGCCUUUGAGCGGGGGACAACAUUUGGAAACGAAUGCUAAUACCGCAUAACAACUUUAAACAUAAGUUUUAAGUUUGAAAGAUGCAAUUGCAUCACUCAAAGAUGAUCCCGCGUUGUAUUAGCUAGUUGGUGAGGUAAAGGCUCACCAAGGCGAUGAUACAUAGCCGACCUGAGAGGGUGAUCGGCCACAUUGGGACUGAGACACGGCCCAAACUCCUACGGGAGGCAGCAGUAGGGAAUCUUUGGCAAUGGACGAAAGUCUGACCGAGCAACGCCGCGUGAGUGAAGAAGGUUUUCGGAUCGUAAAACUCUGUUGGUAGAGAAGAACGUUGGUGAGAGUGGAAAGCUCAUCAAGUGACGGUAACUACACAGAAAGGGACGGCUAACUACGUG
rnacentral:rRNA from 1 species